rnacentral:misc_RNA from 1 species
GUGUAUUUUUGUGUAGGAGCCCUGUGUCCGCCAUUCCAGCCACCAUGAGUCGUCGAAUCGACGAAGAUACGAUUCGUCAGCUGUUAUUAGAUAAUAAUAGUGACGAAGAAAACGGAUCUGAGAGUGAGAAAGAAGACCACCUUGACGGUGAUUCGGCUUAUGAAACAGAUGGUGAGGAAGAAAUUUGUUUUGUAACAAAACAACCACCUUCAACUGAAGACAUCCAGGCAAAAUUCAUCUUCAUCAAUUGAAGACUCGUGAGCUAGUACUUCAAAUCAGUCACACGAAUUAAUUAUUACACCAACAAGUAAUAUUAUUCGUGGAAAAGGCAAACACAAAUGGUCAUCAGUGAAACAGAUUUCAUGAAGCCGAACAGCAUCAAAAAAUAUUGUUCAUGGACCUACAUGUAAUUGUAAAAACGAACUAAGUAGAUCCGCUUUCUUGCUUUUUAUUUUUUGUAACUGAUAGUAUGAUUGAUUUAAUUGUAGCCCAUGCCAGGAACCAGUAGUUCUAUUUCUACACACGAGACUGAUCAAAGAAAAGAUUCAGUUAGUCUUCCUAUCACCGAAAAGAAGAAAAAUUUG